rnacentral:rRNA from 1 species
CUUUUUGUUUGUAAAACAUUUCACUUUUGCUAUCCCCGUUCUAGACGGUGCUGAGGUAAAAUUGACCAGCGGCGUCGGAGGCGGGCUGCGACGGCGAAGGGGCGCUAGAGAGAGGGCGAGAGAAGAGGGGUGGUGGUGGGCUCAGCAGCAGAGGCAGCGGCCGGCGGUACCGAGGCCCGGAGAUGUGGCUGUAGCCGUUCUUCUGGUCUCUAGACGAGAUGUCCCUGAUGACGUGCGUGGUCUUCAAGUGGGAGUGGUGUACGUGGGGGCUCCCGCAGCGUUAGUGUCGACGUCCUUGAUCCUUUUUGCUCAGUUAGAAACCGCUCGAAGUCUGGGUCGAAUUCUUGUUCUUGAACUGUCAACUAUAGUUUCGUUUGAGUCUCAGUCUAGAAGACUGUUGUAAGUGUCAACUACUCAAACGUUGAGGUCCCGACUUUAGUUAAGAGUCGAACCAACAAGGUCUGGUCUCCAGUCCCUUCGAACUUGAGGUCAUAGAGGUACUUAAGCGGCCACAGUUACGUUCGCAACCCGACUUGGGGUUGGGAUACCAAUUGGAAAGACCACAUAAGCCUUCGUUUCUUGACAGUCAACCACAACUGCAAAGUAAACUGUGCCGUUGAUCGUUAAAGUGGUUCAUGUUGCGACGAAAUUCGGAGUGCAUAGGCCUAGAAUAACGAAGUGAGGUGGACUUGUUAGUGCCACUGUGGAACUGACGCAGAAUGAUGGUGAAUCAUUUCAGUGUAAGUUCGUGACGACAACCUCGUCUCGACAGGGUGUUGAAGGGUUCCUUGCUCUCGUGUAACUAUAAACCUAGCGUCGUGAGUAACCUGGGCGUGUGGUCACACUUCCGUGCGAAGUUGUUGAUACCGUACCGGUCACGGGAACAGGUCGUACUUACCGCUGGGUUCAGUGAGCAGUGGUAGAGGCCGCUCCAACUGUGGUUCCGUUAACUCUUCUCGUGUUUUCAACCAGACAGUAACCACGAUUUCGGAACUCUACGUGUCGACCCUGGGAUACAAAACUUUCUUUUUUUCAAGUCAAGACGACCUAACCUUAUUGUACCGGGGUCCAGUAGAGAAGCGCGAAAGUAAAACUAGAACUUAAGGAGGAAACAGGUGUAUUAGACAAAGGAUCCGUUUACAAUCGGAACUGCUGGAGUAAUAAAACUAAACUAGUAGUCGCGGACAGUUAUUAAAGACCACUAAUUCUGGACAACACUUAGAACAGUUUACACUGUCUAACCGCCAAUGUCUGUCGCACAAGUUAAGUAAGGAACUACGGGAACAGGUCAAC